rnacentral:rRNA from 1 species
GAUGAACGCUGGCGGCGUGCCUAAUACAUGCAAGUCGAGCGAACAGACGAGGAGCUUGCUCCUCUGACGUUAGCGGCGGCCGGGUGAGUAACACGUGGAUAACCUCCCUAUACGACUGGGAUAACUUCGGGAAACCGGAGCUAAUACCGGAUAAUAUAUUGAACCGCAUGGAUCAAUAGUGAAAGACGGUUUUGCUGUCACUUAUAGAUGGAUCCGCGCCGCAUUAGCUAGUUGGUGAGGUAACGGCUUACCAAGGCAACGAUGCGUAGCCGACCUGAGAGGGUGGUCGGCCGCACUGGAACUGAUGCGCGGCCCACACGACUACGGGAGGCAGCAGUAGGGAAUCUUCCGCAAUGGGCGAAAGCCUGACGGAGCAACGCCGCGUGAGUGAUGAAGGUCUUCGGAUCGUAGAGCUCUGUUAUUAGGGAAGAACAAAUGUGUAAGUAACUAUGCACGUCUUGACGGUACCUAAUCAGAAAGCCACGGCUAACUACGUG